rnacentral:rRNA from 1 species
CUACGGAGGGUGCGAGCGUUAAUCGGAAUUACUGGGCGUAAAGCGUACGUAGGCGGUUGGUUAAGUUAGAUGUGAAAGCCCCGGGCUUAACCUGGGAACUGCAUUUAAAACUGGCGAACUAGAGUUGAGUAGAGGGGAGUGGAAUUUCAGGUGUAGCGGUGAAAUGCGUAGAGAUCUGAAGGAACACCAGUGGCGAAGGCGACUCCCUGGACUCGAACUGACGCUGAGGUACGAAAGCGUGGGUAGCCAACGGGAUUAGAUACCCUAGUAGUCC